rnacentral:lncRNA from 1 species
CAUUCUAAAUUAGAGAAGCAUCUCUAGGGGCCUCAUCAGGAUCUUUCACAUCUGCGCCCACAGCAGCUUCAUCAAUUCUCAAAUCAACUCUAGUUGUUUCUUUAUCAUUAUCAUGGUUGAUGAAAAAUUCUUGUUGAUCAUCAAUCAUUUAUUCAGUGACUACAUAUUUUGGACAUAAUAUCAAGAAUUACUUCUGCAUAGGAAAAAUAUGUAAUAUCAACAAAAAUAGUGUUCACCUUGGUCCUUGGGAGCCUAUUACUUUAUUUCUAUCUCCAUCUUUUUUUUUCUACUACAUAUUAUUGAAAAUGCCUUUCAAGACAUUCUCAAUAGUGAGCACAUGUUGAAGCAACCCCCCCUAUUACUGGGUCCUUGGUAUAUUGACCCCUAGUUUAUUCCACCUGAUCACUAACAUGUCCUCUACUUGAUUGAACUUUGCUGCUUGGCCUUCUUUCUUCAAUAACUCUUGCAUCUUCACCUUCACGUGCAUCCUCAGUACUACCCCCUACAUGCUUCUUUCUUGUCCUCCUAGGAUAUAAAGUAAGGAUAGUAAAUCCUUCUAAUUCAAACUUUAAGGAGUCUAUGAUUGGAUCAUUCACCUCAACCAGAUAAGGAUAAAGGAUUUCAUAUAGUCCUCAUACAUCUCACAGACUGUAGACACAAUGUACAAGUGAACAGCCUAUAAAUGACCCAGACAUUAACGUACAGUUUAAAUCUAUGAAAAAAGAAUUGAUCACCUAGUCAAAAAUCAUUCCUCUAAAACUCCUAAUUGAUUGAAAGGAUCACUUUUGACAAAUCUAUCAAUUUUGAUUGUGUGUCAUCUGAGGAUCCUAGGGAUAGUAAAGAAAUUUUAUUUGAUUUGCCUCUAUUUCUUUCGAUUGAAGGAAAAGCUUCAUAUAUCCAGACCUGCAAUCACAUAAAUAAUUAAAAGAAAGCAAAUAAAUUGAACAUCUAUAAUCUAUUAGGCUGUUGGUUUAUAAUAAUUACCAUAAAUACCUAAGAAAAGCCCAUACAGGGAAUAAGAUGCAUUCCUCCUAUCAAAUGCAUUGUGCUACUUAAUCAUAUGUUCUUGAGGUAGUCCAAAGUCAUGUCAACACUUACCUUUCCUAUGGGCACUUCUCAAAGAAAUCUAACGAGUUCUCAAUUUUAAUAAAAUCCAUGAUCACUGCCUUGGAUCCGUCCCUAGCAAAUAAAAUGGUAUACAAAAAUUUAAAAAAAAAAACACAAUAUUUUAACUUGUCAUCCUUGUUCAACCUUCUCCCUCUAACAAGCAACAUCAGCCCAUCUAUUUCCCGACUAAUAGUUCUGCAAAAGACUUUACCUUUUGCAUAGAUCCUAUGAAAUUUUUCUUCAUGGGGAGGAUAUCAACAACUUAAAUGAGUCAUUAAUGCAAAUUCUUUCGACCCAAAACACACUGAUUUGUCAUUAACUAAAAAUCACAUUUCGUGCUGCUUCACAUUUAUAACACAGUGGAGUAGCAAGUAGUUGAAUUUAUUGAAAUUUUUAGACAACUUCCUAAAAUGACCAAAACAGGAUCUCUUGAACGCUUUUGUUAAGUUUUGAUCAGCUAAAGUUCUCUUAAACUCAACAAGCAAUGGCAACCUAGACCUUACUAAAAUUUUUGAAGGAAAACUUUCUACUUUAUCAAGUGAAGUAGUUAGAACUUACUCAUCAACAUCAAUUUACUUAUCACGGUGAGGCAAGAUCAGGGGAUCAUCAACUAUAUUUUUUGAAACAGUCUACUCCACAUCCGACUGUCCAGAAUCAUUUUGAUUUCCUUUAUCAAUAUACUCGGGGUUAAUCUUAUUAAAAUCAUUUUGAUUAAAGGUUAUUACUCUUUAAUCGUUGACACCAAAUGUCAAUAGUAGUCUAUUGCCUAAUCAUGGGGGAGCCACAGUGAACAUUAUCGACAUAGAGGAUGAAUGGGUAUGUAGAAAGACUAUUACUAAGGUUGAUUUGGAAAAGCCCAAAUAGACAGAAGGAGUACAGAAGAUUGAGAGAGCCAUGGUUAUUUUAGGUGUCAAUGAAAGGCACCUAUUUAUUGUUAUGACAGCCCCGACUCAGUCAUAUGAUCCACCACCAUCUAGAAAAGAGUUUGAUGUUUAGACUACCACCGCCCAUGGAAUGACAUAGUCCAGACGAUGCUACAUUCCUGAGAAUUCUCCAACAAAAAGGAUUCAUAGAAAAAAACCGAUAACAUACAGGGAGGCAAAAGAAUUUUAGAUUCGUAUGCAGCCAAAGGAAUAUUUUAUUAUCAAGUAUUUAGAAAAAACUCUAGCCUAGAUUUCUGUGUGGGCAUUAUUAAUGAAUUCACAAUACCAUAGACAAGCCUUGUUCAAAGUCCUACAUACAACAUAUGUUCCUAUAGGUAUGAGUGUUGAAAAUUUGGUCACGAUAAUAGAGAAUGUUAUGGAAAGUCACCACAUAUCAUUUAGUGAUGAAGAGUUGCCUUUUGAAGGCGUAAUGCACAACAAGGCCUUGUAAAUUACUUUUAACUAUCGUCACAGAUGGGUCUACCCAAACCAUUGUUACUUUUGUACUAGUCAUUUCCUGUGUGUGAGGUAUCGAUAGAUGAUGGUUUGGGGAUGGAAUAGGAAAUUUGUUAGUGGGGUGAGGAAGGUUGUGCUCGGAGAGACUCUGCAAAAUUGGACCUACACUCUCCUCAUGACUCGUCGCCCAUUGUGGUAGAUAAAAGGGAAAUUAAUAGUAGUUUUAAAAAUCAGCAAUGAUCCAAAGGAGGCCUCGUAUCCACCCUUUUAUAUCUCAACUUUCCUUUUCGUGUUCUACAAUUUUCAAAAAGGCAUAAGCCCAUAUUUGUGUAGGUCAUGAGCCAUAGUUGGUAAAUAUUUUCCAAAUUUAAAUAAAAAGGCCUCUCUUUAUGUAAUAAGUUAUUAUGAAGUGUUAUUAUAUUUAUUUUACUAUUUUUAAAUUAUAUGGAAAACAACCUCUCCACUUCUUCGAAGGUAGCGGUAUGGACUGCAUACAUUUUACCCUUUCCAGACCUCACUUUGUGGGAAUACACUGAGUUUGUUGUUGUUUGUUAGUUUUAAAUUAUCUUGUUAUCAUCUAACUUGGUUUGUUUAUCUAUUUCAGUAACAAUAAUUUAACGGCCAAUAUCAUGUCAUGUCAAGGGCUAAAUGAAUAAAGCGAGGUAAAUAAUGAUGAAUGAGAGGACUAUGAUAGGCAAUUAAUUAAAGAUAUGAAAGAAUUUGAAAAUCAGGAGACACCCAACUUGGAAGAAACUGAAUUAGUCAACCUGGAAGACUACGAUGAAGUCAAAGAGACAAGGGUUAGUGUUCACUUAAUAGAAGCGCUAUUAAGAGAACAUAUCCAUUUUCCAUGGGAAUACAUCGAUAUAUUUGAUUAUUCCUAUGAUGAUAUGUCAAGGUUAAGCACUAAUAUCGUGUCGCAUAAGUCACCAAUCAAUCUCGAGCUUGAUCCAAUAAAGCAAAAAAUGUAGAAAUUUGAGCCGGACUUAAGUUUAAAGAUAAAGAAAGAAGUGACAAAGAAAAUUCAAUCUAAGGAUGUAGAGGUCACAAAAUAUCUAACAUGGCUAACCAAUAUUGUUCCAGUGCCAAAAAAAGAUGGCAAGAUAUGAAUUAUAUUGACUACAGAGAUUUGAACAGAGCUAGUCCUAAGCAUAAUUUUCCACUACCCAACUUUCACGUCCUCAUCAAUAACUGUGUGAAGAAUGAAAUGCAGUCUUUAAUGGGUUGUUUCAUUGGGAAUCAGCAGAUAUUAAUGGAUGAGGAAAAUGCAGAAAAGAUGACAUUCAUUACGCCCUACGUGUUUAUCUUUAUAGGGUAAUGCGGUUUGGUCUUAAGAAUGAUGGUGCAACAUACAUGAGGGCUAUGAAAAUAGUUUUUCAUGAUAUGAUUCAUAAAGAAAUUGCGGUUUACAUUGAUGAUGUAAUCAUUAAAUCUUGCAAGAGUAUAGAUUAUCUGAUACACCUGGAAAAGUUCUUCAACUGAUUGAGAAAGUACAACUGUAAGUUGAACCCUUCGAAGUGUGCUUUUAGUGUGCCAACAAAAAAACUACUAGGGUCCAUGGUCAGUAGAGGAGGCAUUGAGCUCGAUCCAUCUAAGAUCAAGACAAUUCAGGAUUUAGCACAGCCAAGGACCAAGAAAGAAGUUAUAAGUUUCUUGGGUUGUUUGAAUUACAUUAGCAGGUUUGUUGCCCAAUAGACAGCCAUAUGUGAGCCAAUUCUCAAUAUAUUGAAGACAGAUGCAUUGAAAGAGUGGAUAGAAGAAUGUGAGAAGGAAUUUGACAGAAUCAAAGACUAUGUGUUCGCUCCGCCUGUUUUGGUUCCACCAAGGAAAGAAAGUUUAUUGUUUCUUUCAGUCUUAGAAAAUACUUUUGAACGUGUCCUCAAGAAACACAAUGAGACCAAUAAGAAAGAGAAAGCAAUCUACUACUUGAGUAAAAAUUUCACACCAUAUGAGGCUUGCUACACUCUCAUAGAAAGGAUGUGUUGUGCUUUGACCUGGGUCACACAAAAGUUGAGGCAUUAUCUAUCCUUGUAUAGGACAUAUCUCAUUUCAAGAAUGGAUCCAUUGAAGCAUAUAUUUCAGAAAGCCAUGACCAUAGGAAAGUUAGCCCGAUGACAAAUAAUGCUAAGUGAGUUCGACAUUGUGUAUGUGACUUAAAAUGUAAUUAAGAGGCAAGCCUUAACGGAUCAUUUGGCUGAGAAUCCAGUUGAUAAUGAAUACAACCCACUUUGAACUUACUUUCUAGAUGAGGACAUUUUAUUCGUGGGAGAAGAUAUUGGAGAAACAUACCCCAAAUAGAGAAUGUUUUUUUAUGGAGUGGUCAACUUCAAGGGUUCGGGAAUUGGAGCAAUUUUGGUGUUAGAAAUAGGCCAACAUUAUCCUAUAAUUGUUCCCGUGCACCAAUAACAUGGCUGAAUAUGAGGCUUGCAUCAUAGGCCUUAAGCUAACACUUGAAAUAGGUGUUCAAGAAUUGUUAUUCAUUAGAGACUUAGAUUUGUUAAUUCACAGAAUACGGGGAGAAUAGAUCGUGAAGAACCCCAAGAUUACCCCUUAUGUAGAAUUGGAACAUGAUUUGUUUGGAAGAUUCAAGGAAGUUGACUUCGGACAUAUCCCAAGGAUAUAAAAUAAGUUUUCUAAUGCUUUAGCUACUAUAUCCUCAAUGAUUAAACACCCAGAUUAUAGUUACAUCGGUCCUUUAGAAAUAAGCUUGAAGAAACAACCCCCACAUUGUGUAUAUGUUGAAGAGGAAGCCAAUGAAAUGCUGUGGCACUUUUAUAUAUAGAAGUAUUUAGAAUUGGAAUGUAACCUGAGAAGUCCAACACCAAUCAGAAAAAAGACAAUCCAGUGUUUGGCAAAGAAUUAUUUUCCAAGUAGGGAAAUUCUUUUUAGGAGGACUCUAAACUUAGGAUUUCUAAGAUGUGUUAAUGUCGCGGAAGCUAUGAAACUGAUAAAAAAGAAGUAUAUGCAGGAGUCUGUAGGACCCAUAUGAAUGGGUUUCCCCUUUCUAAAAAGAUUCUGAGAACUGGUUACUUUUGGAUAACUAUGGAAAAUUAUUGUAGCAAAUAUGUGCAGUAAUGCCCAAAAUGCUAGAUACACAGAGAUUUAAUUCAGAUGCCUCCACAUGAGCUUUAUGCAAUGAGUUUACCUUAAGACUUUUGUAUCUUGGGGUAUGGAUGUUAUCGAAUUAAUAUAUCCACAAGUGCCAAAUAGGCAUAGAUUCAUUUUGGUUGAUAUUGAUUACUUCACCACAUGGGUGAAAGUUGUCUCAUAUAAAGACUUGAAAAAGAAGGUAGUUGAAGAUUUUUUCAAGAACAACCUAAUCUUUCAAUUUGGAGUGUCGGACUCAAUCAUUAUUAAUAGUGAGGCCAACUUGAAUAGUAACUUAAUGAAUGGGAUUUUUGAAUAGUACAAGAUUGUUCAUCGCAACUCAACCACAUGCCGUCUACAAAUGAAUGGAUCUAUAGAAAUAGCCCAAAAAAUCAAGAAAAUAUUGAGGAAAAUGAUAAAAAAUGACAGAUCAUGGGAUGAGAUGUUGCCUUACCUCUAUUAGGGUAUCACACAAUAGUUCAAUCCCUAAUUGGGGCAACUCCUUAUCUACUUGUUUAUGGAAAUAAAGAUGUAAUACCUAUCAAGGUUGAAAUACCUUCCCUAAGUAUUAUUCAAGAAGCCGGAUUAAGCAACGAAGAAUGGAUGCAUGCUCGCUACGAACAACUCAUGUUGAUUAAUGAAAAAAAUGGUUGACAUGUGUCAUGGCCAGUUGUACCAAAAUAAAAUGAUACGUUUCUUCAACAAGAAAGUAAAAGUUCAAACAUUUUAAGUUAGGAAAUUGGUUCUCAAACACAUAUUUCCUCAUCAAGAAGAGUACAAAGUCAAGUUUUCUCUGAAUUGGCAAAGGCCAUAUGUAGUUUGAAAGGUACUAUCGGAUGGCCCUUGAUCCUAUCUAAGGUGGAUGGUCAAGAGUGGACCAAAGCAAUCAAUUUUGAUAUGGUAAAGAGAUAUUAUGUUUGAAGGAUGUUUUUGAUUUUCUCAUUUUUCUUAUUUGUUUGUAAUCUCACCUCUAUGAAAGUAUUUGUUUUAUGAUGUGUAAUUUCCUAGAAUCCUUUUCCUUUUAUGUACAAACUAUGUUUGACCUAAAUUUCCAAGAAAUGGAUAUGUAGGCGUACUAUGUCGUCUUCGGUCAACCCCUUAGGAUAAUUUAUCUUUUUCUUUUAGGCUGAACUACAUUUGACCUGAUUCUUGUUUCAAUAGGAUAUGUAGGCUCUCCAACAACUUGUUCAUAUCACCCCAAGAAAUGGAAACUGGGGAAGAAUUUUCUAGAAGAAACCUCAAAAAUUCAAAAAAGAUGAUCAUUAUCCAUCAAAGAGAAUGAAAACCAACAGACUUUAGAUCCUCUCAAGCCAAGAUCAUCUCAAAUAACAUUAAAUCGAGGCAGAAAUUUUAAAGAGAUCCUCAAAAUUUCCACUAAUAUACUAGAAUAGAUUUCAAAUUCCCUAGCACCAAAGGUCAAAAUCAAGAUUUAGAAACUACUAGCUGCAACAAAGUUUGAAUAGACUCAAUCUCCGACUAUGACAAAACUUUUGGUAGAACUCUCCAGUAACGAUGAUGAGUUUUUGGAAAUCCUCUUUAGGAUGUCGGAUACAAACAAGCCUCAAGAGUAGACGUUUGUUGAUCUAGUACAUGACACGACUGGUAACAAUUUUUUAAAAGCUUUUACACAUGUUUUUGAAACUAAUUUUUCAAAUUAAGACUAUUUUUUUUGAAAAUCAAUACAUAUCAUUUUCUACUUAACUAGUUUUGCCUAAGCAUUUAUUGAAACGGGGAGUCAGGGAGGAAGUCCAAACAUGAAGAAGCACCCUAAAAUAUAGAAAGAAGCAAGAAAAGAGCGAAAGAGAUCAACACGGAGUAGUUUCACUCAAAUCUAAUAAUUUUACUGUAGAUGGAGGGAUUAAUGCAAAAAUAAGGAUCUUCUUCAAAAUAAACCCUCAAGUGCAUUAAGAACUGCACCAAAGCAUAAAUUGCUUAAGAAUUGUAUUUUUGGGUAGCCCCAAAGAUAGGUUCAGUGCCCAUUUAUCAAAGACUUUUUGAAUUUUUUAUCUCACUUAAUGAGACCAUGGAUGACAAACAAAGACGUCAGAUCCUCUAUGAAUAUAUUAUUUAGAAAUUUUCUAAAAAAUAUCUCUAGCAAAGGUGACUUUGUGUGUAAUAAAUAUUUACCUUGAGCGCAGGUGCAUUCAAAGGAGUCGGCCCUAUAAGGACACAAUUAAAGGAUCGGUCAAUUGAAGGGAGAGGAGAAAAUUCAUCCUCAAAUUUGCCAUGAGGCAAAGUGAAGGGUAUUUGACUAAUCCUUGAAAGGGGUUUUACCCAUUUAUUUGCUUCCAAUGGAUCCGUUAUUCAAAUACUUCUUUGAAAAGAGUAGAUGAGUAGAAGAUUAAGUCAUUCAGAUUAUAAUACCGAGCAUUUUUUAUUUAAACUUUCAUAAAGCUUGAUUGUGGUCGCCAGUGAGAGCAACAUUGUAUCUGCUAACUAUCUACCUUAUGUACAGGUACCUAUACAAAGCCGACAUAACAACUAAAAGACUUAGGUAAAAAUCCUCUUCAAACCAUCAAGAGGGAUAUUUUAUAUCAUUCUAUGCCGAGAGGGCCAUUCAAUUUCAUUCUAUUACAGAGAGGGCCAUGACAAGAGGUCUAUUCCAUUUUACUUCAUUGCUAAAAGGGCCAUUAUGUCAUUCAACUAAGUCUCCGUAAUCACUUUCUAUGCAAGACGAUAAGGUCUGGCCUUGGAAGAUGCUUUAUAUCACCUAUAUCUAUUGAUCAUACGAAUAUAACAUGAUCUGGUGUUGAAAAUAUCUCAGCAUUUUAUAUUUGUUGACCAUAAAAAAAAAAACGAUAUAGCCCUGCGUCAAGGAUAUAUCAGCAUUUUAAGGAUUAGCAUGCAUCAAUAUGUCAAGAUAAAAAGCACAUAACUUGAAGGGAUGCCUUUAAUUUGCUAUCUAAAAGCAGACAAUGUAUGAGAUUUCCUAAAGAUUGACAAUUCGAGGGUCAUUUAUAAAUCACACUAUUUGAAAUAGGAUAGUGUGUGAGAUUACCUAUGAGUUCAUAUUCCAUAAAUUAUUUGUAAGCCAUAACAAUAUCCUAACUAUAUAGUGUGCAAGGUUACCUAAGAAUUGGUAGUUGGAAGGCUAUCCAUAAGUCGCUACUAAAUACUUACCAGAAAUAUGCGAGAUUACCGAAUUGAUAUGUAUAAGGGUUUUCUAUAAGUCAUGUCAUAUCCAAGAUUGAUUAUGCACAGGAUUACCCAAAUACUAGUAAUUUGAGAGAUAUUUAUAAGAUGUAUUAUAUCCACGGUCAGAUGGUGUGCAAAAAUACCUAAGAGCUAGCGACUCGCAAGAUAUCUGUAAGUCAUCUUUUAUCCAAGGUCAAAUAAUGUGUAAAAUUACCCAAAAAUCUAGAAACUCAAAGAAUAUCUUUAAGUCACCUCAUAUCCAACAUCAAAUGAUGCGCAAUAUUAUCUAAAGAUUGAUAAUUCAAGGGAAAUCUAUAAGUCGUAUCGAUAUGAAAGAUAUGUAAGACUUGACCGAGGUCACAUGUAAAGGAUCAUUGUCAAUAACUGAAGAGGUUAUCAUUCCAUAUGCAAAAAGAACUAUAGUUGACCAAGAGUGUUUCCACAUCAGCAGAAUAUUAAGCGGUUGUAGGGACCGUUCUACCCAAAAUGUCAUUAGUGUCCAAGAGAGCCACCCUACUUUGAAGACAUAUUUAAUUGACAAAAGAGCUAUUUUAUUCAACAACCAAGAGGGUUGUUGUGCUUAUUAUUGCAAGUUAUUACCCUCCAAUAGGCACAUGUGGGGAGGACUUCACUUUUUGAAUAACAACUCACGUGGAGAUAUGGUAAAAAUCUAUAUACCACUUUCGUGAAUUAUGUUUAUUACUAACAAUGUUUGAGAUAUUAUAGAGAGCAUCAGAGAUGAUGAAAAUCUAAAAUCAAAAUCACAGGUGUGGAUGACUCCUAAAAGGAUGCAACAAAACGUGAAUCUUUUUCUUAGUAGCAAAUCAGGACAUAUUCUAGAGAGGGACGUCAAACUUUUUGGACGCGAGAUAAAGGAUGAGUGCCACCACCAUCAAACCACAUCUCUAUUAGACUGCAUGUGGUAUUUUGGGAUAUUCUGGUUUCAAUUAUACUUCUGUGAUAUCUCUAGAUUCAUACUGGAAGUAACCUUCUCUUUCAUUCAAAUUCGAGUGAUAGCACACCUCGAGUUUUGGAAACUAUGUUUGGGUAGAUUCUUACCUAUGGAUGUGAAGAGCUCCACAUUUAUGGUUAAGAGGUUACAAGCCUCUUUUCUGCAACUCAAUCAACUUAUCACUCAUUCUAAGCCAAACAUAGUCUAAAAUAGGAGACUAUUUUUUUUAUCGAUCAAGUCAAACUACAAGAAGUCUGAUUCCUUUAGUCUCACGGAUAUAUAGGUGGGGCUCUAUGUUGAAAACUAGAUUGCAUUCCAACCUUCCCAUAAUCCAUAUAUUCCAUAGCUUCCCAAUUUAACUAGAAUUCAAAAAUUAGAAUAACUUGUGAAUACUUUGAAAAUCGUGCAUAGAGUCAAGCUUUAUGAACUACAAAUAGCCUGAAUUCUCAUGCAACCUAAAAUAUGUUGGAAACUAGAUACAUAGGUCCGGCCAUAAUUCCAUGAAACUCGUGUGAGAUCCAACCUCUUUCAUAAAUAAAUUUAUGAUCGAACAAGAAGUAACAUCAAACUCCCUUUGCCCAGGGUUGCUUACUUCCACCCUACCCAAAGGGAGGGGACAGUUAUUGACACCUAAUUUUUGUCCUCCACAUCUAAGUUUAAUACUAAUUUUCUUCAAUUUUAAAUAAAAUAUUUAUUUUAUUUGAAAAAAAGACUUUUCAAAGUAUUUAUCUAGAUAAUUUUGUCAGUUUAAGUAACAAUUAUAUAUUUUUAUAUUCGCAUAUAUGAAUUCAUAUAAUUUUGUUACUUAAAUAAUUGUUUUACAAAAAAUUAAAUUUUAAUUAAGGAUUUUCUUGAAAAUUAUUUCAAAUAAAAAAAUUAUUUAUUUUUUAUUGAAUCAAGAAGCUCAGGAUUGAAUUGGUUGUUAAUCUAUUUCAAAUGUUGUUUUAAUUUAGUCAAUUUAAUAAAUUGGACCUUAAUUGAAAUCGAUUUGGCCAUAUUACAAUGUAAUUGGUCAAUUGAAUUUUAAUUAGGCUAAAAUUUAAAUGCAAUUGUCUAAAUUUUCCUUUGAUGGCUAUUUGAUAAAUAAAAAAAAAAUAGCCGAAAUCCCUAAAAUUCAUAAAUUCCUAAUUAAGCCCCUCAAUUAAACCCGCCCUAGCGACCUAACAAUAAUAACCCAAUUUCAGCCGACAACUAACAACCAACAACAUCCCAAAAUAUGUUUCCGACCUGGCCCACUCUUUCUUUUGUUCUUCAUAGCAACGAUAAACAAAACAAUGCGUAUACGUACAGCUUCAGUAAUUCGCGACAACGAUAGCAAAAACAACGAUUUCAACAAUGGUAAAACACUAAUCCAGCAAGCCCCUCUAAGUUGUUAAAAUUUUGUAGACAAAUGCGCGUUUGGCAUGAGAGGUUGUACUGGAGAAUCUUCCUAUAAAAUUCCUCAAAUAUUCAAUCCUUAUCCUCUUCUCAAUUUCAAAAUUCAAAUUUGUACUGAAGUAGUACAAAUCAACCUCAUCAAUCUCCUCAAAUUUGUUUCCCCCUCAAAUUUCCCCCAAAAUCAAGAAUGUUCUUGAAUGGAACAGUCGAUGCAAUCCUAUUCGUCAAUGCUACGAACUAGGAUGGAACCCCUCUCAUCAUCCUCCAUCAUCGAGAUUCAUCUUUAGCCAUUUGUUUCAAAGUUUUCCCUAUUAAAAGUCCCAAAAUUUCCCCUGAAUUUUGGUUGUUCCCACAUUGGUGGGACUUCAUAGGUGUGACCCUCCAUUCCUUCUAUAAAAGUCUCACUGUAGAGAUGAAUUUGCAAGCCUUAGAAGGUUGGAAAAAAGCAUUUUGAGCAUAAUGACUUGAAAAUUAUUUUUGAGCAAGAGAAUUUUCAUUAGAAGUUCUGUUAGUUAAAGUUUAGUCAGGUCGAUUUUGAAUUCUCGAUAAUGGUCAAGAUUCUGAUGAUAGCCCAUAGUUCCGUUUUGCUCCCCCCAGAAAAGGUAAACACUUUCUAUUUUAGUUUGUUAUAGUCUUUCUUCUUCAAAUACUUGUUCGUAGUUUCAUAAUAAUGUUGUUGGGAUUGUUUAUUGCAGAAGCCUUGAAGGCUUAGGAUUUUUGUGUGGCAAUAAUUGUGUUUUGUCGUUUCUUAUGUUGGAUAAAUAUUAUGGCCGUGUUUAACUCACUGUUUUGGUUGUAUGUUUGAGAAUUUAUGGCUUUAGUUUGACUUUGCUUAUAAGAGAGUUGUUGUGCCUGUUAAUCGCAAAAUUAUCAUCAUAUGAUUAGUUUUAGUAUUAUCAUCAUUUCUUUCGAUUUCAAAUUCUCAUUUUAGCCUAUUAUGUUGCCUUUAGUUUUCUUUGAUUUAAAUGCUAUUUGAUUUACUAUUUCUAUAUCGAUUAAAUAUAUGUUGGCCUUAGAUUUAUCACUGAACACUCUAUCUAAUUAAAAGCCCCCCUUAGUCGUCGUCUCUUCGAUCCGAUUGUUUAAGUUAAGGUUACAUUCAUCGAAUUUUUAGUAUCACUAUCCUUGUUCCACCCCUAUUAUGUCCAUCUUGAUAGUUAUUUGGACUAUUUUACUUUCUUUGAAUAUGUUAGAACUUCUCUUGGUUUAUCUUGAUUUGCAAUAUCGAUAAAAGUAAGUAGAGUAAGUUCAUGAACGAACGAUUCAUUUGAGGAACCCUUUAUGAUCCUUUUAUGCAUAAAUUUCUUCGUGAACUAUUCAGGGAGAGGAGUAGGGUGAUUUAACAUUGACAAAAACCAAUACGUAUUUCGUUCAAGGUCAAAUCUUUAUUUCUAGGUGAAUUUGUUUAAUUUCGCAUGAUAUCAUUUGGAAUAAUAUGUUACCUUUAUGGAUGUCCAGCUUUUCUCUUGUGUUUGCUUGCCAUGAUUGUAUUAUUCUUAAUUACUAGUGAUAAUAGCUACGCUUUGCGCGGUUAGAAAUAACAUUAAUAAAUUUAUAUUAAUAAUAGAUAUUGUCGUAGAUUAUUAUAAAGAAAAUUAUUUGUUUUUACAGAAAGGAUUAAUGAGGGUCAACAAUUAAUUAGCAAUGCAAUAAUUCAAUGAGUAAUAUACAAUUAAAGCCACUGAGAGUUACAAAUGUGGAAGAUGAAGGAACUAUUUUCUAACACCCUCGUCAUCUUCAGUACUUGUUUUGCAGCAUAUCGUUGUUCCUUCAUAUCCUUGUGGACUGUUUAUUCAUCACUGGAAAGAACAAAAAACUCACCUUUAUAAACUUAGAUUCCUCCUGCUCAUUCCACCUAGGAGCAUAUAUUUUCAAGGUAGAAUAAUAGUAUAUCAACUUGCAUAGAUCUAUUAUGUAAUUCUUUUUAAUCCCGUUGUGUCGUUUGUAUGUGUUAUUAUAUAACAUGCAACUUGCUUUAUUACAGUACAGAGACUCCAAUUAACGACUUAUGUUCGUUCACUGUCAUCUCUUAAAUUUUGAAAGGCUGGGUUAUUAUUCGGUGCUAAUACUUUAUUUGUUCAGUUGAUAUUUUCCAGUUAUCUAUUAUGUUUACUUGUUGAAAGAGCCUCUCUACCUUUGAGGUAGAGGCAUGGUCUGCGUAUACUUUACCCGCCCCAGACCUCAUUUUGUGGGACUACACUGGAUAUGUUAUUUUUAUUGCUAUUAUGUUACUUGUUCUUUUCUAUUGGAGUGCUUCUUUCCAUUUCAACAAAAGAGAAUACAGAUGAUAUUCAAGUGAAAGUUUUAGAAAUCCAUAGGAACUUGACUUUGGAAUUCUCAACUAUUAGUAUGAAAUAUGUUACUCAAGUGAAACAUAUGGAUACUAUACUAAAUGUGAGUUUAAAUCUAUGAGCAGAAAUAAAGCCUUAAGUCUUCCCCCAUCUACCAAGCACGCCUUUGACGCUCUCCAUUGUUUCUGUUAAGCAUGAUAUAACAGUGCAUUACUUUCUUUCAUCAUUCCGCUAAAAUUAGAGUUAACUUUCACUCAUAGAAUAGUUAUUAUCUUAGGAAGUCACUUUCUUUGUUGAGAAAGAUUGAAAUCGAAGAAGCAUCUCUCUGAGAUGAUAACUAAUAGUUGAGUGACCACACGAGAAAUUAACCCCUCAAAUUAUGUUCUUUUGCGGGAUAUUAUGUCUUUUAAAAGCUCUCACAUCAAACAUACUGCACUUCACAUCAACCAUCCACUUCAAAGGAAGAGCUUGCUCCAAAGCCAAAGUUUUCACUUUUACAAUUCAAAACCACAGGAAUUGAGAGCUAAAUUGCUCAAACUUUUCAAAGUUACAGAAUUUUCUAGUCAAAUUAUAAUUGCAUUUGCUAACAAUUUUUUUUUAGUGCUUUGGAACCUUAUGAUGCUUAACCUUUGUCCUAUCUUUUCUUGUUCAGUUCAAAAGCCUUACAGAAGGCAAUAACUUGUACUCCCUCCAUUUCAAUUUGUUUGUCUUUCCUUUUUUAGUAUGUUGUAAAAAGAAUGUCUCUUUAUUUCUUUCGGCAACUUUUUAGUUCUAACUUUCUGCAUGACAUGCUUGACAUGUUUAAGACCACAAGAUUAACGCACAUUUUGUUACAUUCUACAUAUCUUUAGUUUAAGACCAUAAUAGACAAAAAUCUUCUUUCUUAAACUCUGCACCAAGUCAAAACAAUACAAAUAGUUUGAAACAAAGUGAGUACAUAGAGAAGGAUUUCACAGCUAGGAAAAAAAAGCAUCUUUUAAACAAAUGUGAACCAAUUCAAAAAUUAGAUCUUUGAAUAUCCUAUGUAGCUCGGACUAUUCAAAAAUGUCAAUAGAUGUACGUUGUAUCAUUCAAAAGUAGCAUACUUUUAUACUUUUGGAGGAUCUGACAAGGUGCAACAACAUUUUUGAAGAGUCCGAGCAACAUUUCAAUUUGUUUGUCCUACUUUUCUUUUCAGUUCGCUUAGAAAACAACACAUUUUUCCUUUUCUACAACUCUUCAAUUUCAAUUUUUCUCAACUACGCAAAAUCAAAAAGCACAUUUGGUACAUUCUAUCAAUCAAAUAAGUAUCUACUAUAUAAUUUCGUAAAAUCUGUAUCAAGUCAAAAUUAAACAAACAAAUUAAAAUGAAGCUUCGCAAUUACCUUUCAUAUUAAAGGAAGAGGAAUUAUUUUAGGGAGCAGGUGAGUAAGCCAUAUAAGGAUUCGAUCCACGUUCAUCGGACGGCAUAGAUCUCAUCGGUGCCGCUGAUUCUUCUACCAAUUCCUCGUUCCACCUCACCAAUUUCCUCAAUUUCUCCAAUUUACCACUCUCAUUGGUACUUUCAGGUUGUUCCGGAUCAGAUUUUGGAUCCGGCUUUUGAACCUGAUCCGAAUCCUAACCCGAAUUACUCUUCUGCUCCGCACCGUUUGGAUGAUCCAUCGCUGUUGAGUUUUCAACGGCGGCACGUGAAAUGGCGACGAUGUAUUUUUAGCAAAACUCUACUACUUUAACUCCCUGUUAGAAACACAACAUGCAAUUUGCAAUCAAAUAAUAGAUACAUAUGGAUUAACUUCUCACAGAUGCCGACUGCAGAAUAGUUCUAUUUGUAACUCCGAUUGCCAUGUUCAGAGGAAG